GCCGGUGUAGCUCAAAUGGUAGAGCAACUGACUUGUAAUCAGUAGGUUGGGGGUUCAAGUCCUCUCGCCGGCCCCA
rnacentral:tRNA from 1 species